GGAUGUGAGGCUGACCCAGCUGCAGCAUCUGUUACCCCAGAUCGCCAGGGUUGAUUCAGCAGGCCUGGCUGGCGAGGCAGCUGUCACCUGUCCUUCCUCGCUGCUCCACGUGUGCUUUUCCUGAAGCUGCGUGUGUAGACACAGGUGACAUUUCUGGACGGAGGAGGACUGUCCUUCAGUCAAGGGUACAGAGGCACUGCCCCCUGCUAGAACUUUCAGAGAAGCCCAAUUAUUCUUUGGUAAAUUUAUAACAUUAAGUUCCUGAUAG
rnacentral:snRNA from 1 species